UACGUAGGUGGCGAGCGUUAUUCGGAAUAACUAGGCGUAAAGCGUAUGUAGGCGACUAUACAAGUCUAUGGUGAAAUUUCCUGGCUUAACCGGGAAGGGUACAUAGAUACUGUAUGGAUUGAGUGUUGCAGGGGGAGACGGAAUUCCUGGUGUAGCGGUGAAAUGCGUAGAUAUCAGGAGGAACACCGAUGGCGAAAGCAGUCUCCUGGGCAAAUACUGACGCUGAGGUACGAAAGCGUGGGGAGCAAAC
rnacentral:rRNA from 1 species